AAAAAAAAAAAAUACAAUAACAAUAACAAUUACAAUUACAACACAUUAUGUCUUUUCUAUGCAUACAUUAUUUACUUUAUAGGUACAAGAUAAAUGGGAAAAUUACGUCAAUGACGUUAUUGAUUUAACUAAUUGUGAUUUACAUCAAGAAAAUGACUCAACAAUAAGUAUUAAAAGUAAUGAGCAUAUAUCAAAUGGAAAUAUUUAUCCAUUUUUAACUAACCUUAGUAGUACAUAUAGUCAUGGGAAUAGUGAAGAAAGCAGUUCAAUCGCUUCCUCAAGUGAUUUUACUUACGAUGCAAAUAGAACUGCUUAUACGUCGAAUAUAUUAAAUAAAUACUUUUCGACCGAUAUAUACGAUGAAAAUAGAUUUUCUACUUGUACUAAAAGGCUUGCUAGUAUGAUUAAACAUAAACAAGUAAAAGCAAGCAGUCAGUUUGGUGGUAACCGCAUUAAUCAUUUUGGUAGUAAAAAUAUGAAUCGGUUUGUCGAUAAUGACGUUAAACUAAAAUUUGUUAAUAGUUUAAUUGAUUAUUAUAGAAAACUUCAGGUUAGACACGUACAUACAUACAUGCAUACCUACAUGAAUACAUACAUGGAUACAUACAUAUAUAGAAACGUAAAUAUAGAUAUAGGUAUAAUUAUGGUUAUAGAUUUACUAAAUAUGUUAAGCUAAGCUGUAUUUUAAGUGGAAUUCCUUUGUUAUUUUUAUGAUUAUUACAUAAAUAAACAUGAAGUUGAAUAUACAUUUUUUUUUUUUUUUUUUUUUUUUUUCAUCUAACAAUUUUAUUUUAGAAGUUAGUAUAUAUACGCCUAUGUGUGUACAUUAACAAAUUUGUACAAUAUUGCGAGUAUAUAAAUAGUUAUAACACAAUUUUUCUUCUUUGUAGAACCCAAAAGGAAACAUUGAUGGUGAUGAAACUAAAAAAAAUUCUAAAGGAAGUAAUACAAGUAAUUUUUUUUUUAAAAAAAAAAAAAAAAAAAAAAAAUAAUCUUGCAUUAUACAUAACUUAUUUGUACAUAUUAUAUAUGCGUGUGCGCGUGUAUAUUAUCAUACUCUUAUUCAGAUGGCACCAUGAAUACGAAUAGUGAUAACUCUACAGGAGCCCCAACUUUGAGUAAAAAGAGUAACAAAAAAAAUUGCGAAUCCCAACUUGAAGAAAAAACAAACAUAAAUUAUAACUUAAAUACAAAAAAAAUAGAAAACCAAAAUAAGGAUAAUAAGAAAAUACAUAUAGGAACAUAUAUAAAAGCUGUUGAAUGUAAUGGAAAAGUAAAUAAAGCAAUAGUUAACAACAGAAAAAAAUUAAAUGAUGAUAACAAAAUAGGUAGCAAGGUAAAAGUUGAAAAAGAUGUGAAUGUGUUAAGUUCGAAUAAAAAAUACUUGAAAUUAAAAAACAGUUUAUAUAAAAAUAAAAAUGAAGCAAUACUACAUACUAAAAAAACUCACGUACAGGCAAAAAAUGUUUUAAAAGAAAAUAUAAAAAUAAUUAAUAAAAAUAGUAUAAUAAAUGAAAAAAAAAAUAAUAUGAUAAAUAUUAAUUUAACUUAUGAUAAACAUGCUGAUGAUAGCAUAAAAGACAAAGAUGUGUUUGUUUUUAAUAAUAAUAAUAAUAGUAGUAAUAAUAAUAAUAAUAGUAGUAGUAAUAAUAAUAAUAAUAAUAGUAAUAAUAAUAAUAAUAAUAAUAGUAAUAAUAAUAAUAAUAAUAGUAAUGUAAAUAGCGGGAAUGACAAUAAGGGUGAUAGUAGUGGCAAAAGCAUCGAUGUAUUUAAACAUGAGAGUAAUAAAAUAGUAGUAAAUGUUAGUAAUAAUUUACAAGUAGAAAGUAGUACAAAAACGUUAAAUAGAAAUAAAUUAGAUACUAGUAUAAAAAGUGAAAAUUUUUUUUUUAGAAAUAAUAAACGCGUAAACGUGUUGAGUAAUGAAAAAGGAACUAUAAAUAAGGUAGCAAAAGUGAUAAAAAGCGAAAAAAAACAAAACAAAAACUUAAAACAUUUGUUUUUUCAAAGUUCUAAUGAAAAAACAAAAAAGGAUAAUAAUUUUAUUCCAGUAACUAAUAAAUGUUCUUAUUUUGGUAAAAAUAGAAAAGAAAUCGAGGUUAAGACAUACAGAGAUAAAGGGGUAGAUAAAAAAAAGUAUAACGAAAAAAGGAACAGAAAAGAUAAAAGAAUUUCGAACAAAAUAGACUCUAACAGAACGAAAAAAAAUUGUAAAACAAAAAAAAACUGUGCGUAUGUAGAAAAUGAUAAUGCAAAUAUAUUGAAUAGUAAAAAAAAAAAAAAAAAGUUUGACAUAAAUUUGGAUAAAAUGACAAAAACUAAAACAGAGAUGUUAAAAAAGGGAUUAAGUGUAAGUAGAAAGCAAUUAUAUCUAGAUAAAACAGAUGAUAAAAAUACGUAUAAUCUUACCAUGGAUUUCACAAAAAGUAUGUUUAAACAUAAAAAUAAAGAUGUAGAAUUAGAUAAGAAUGAUAAUAAUAAAAUAAUAAGAAAUGAAUUAUGUUGGACCCAAAAAAUAGAAAACUCAAAUUUACAUUCAAAUCAUGAUAAAAACAACAGUAAUAGAUGUUAUAAGCUUACUCCUAAAGAAACUAUUGAAAUGCCUAAAAGUAAAAAAGGCAUUUCUCAAAUUUUUAUAUCAUCUACAAAACAUCUUAAUACUUUUAUAGAAAACAGUACUUUAAAAUCUAGUGUGUUAUUAAAUAGUGACAAAGAACAUACAAAAAAAAGUGUCUCUUCUAACAAUGCAAAAUCGUACUUUUCAAGAAAUAAUUUUUUUUCUUCUUCUAAAAUUUUACAUAGCCAUAAAACUAAAAGUUAUAAUAGUAAUAAAUAUAAAAGUUGUUUUUCUAUGUAUAAUACACAGGAAUACGACAAAACUAUUAAAAGUAGUUUAUUUUAUCAAGAUAUACAAAAUAAAAACACUAAGGGGAGACAUGUAUUAUAUGAUAAGUAUGAGAAAAAAACAGCUGAAAGGAGUAGACAUUUUAAUAACAGAAGUAUUGAUAAUGACAAUAAUAAUAGAAAUGAUAGUGACAAUAAUAAUAGAAAUGAUAGUGACAAUAAUAAUAGAAAUGAUAGUGACAAUAAUAAUAGAAAUGAUAGUGAAAAUAAUAAUACUGACGAUCUGGAUUUACUUGAAGAUUAUAAAAAACACCUUAGUUUGCAAAAUAUUAAUUAUUUAAACGGUGUUAAUAAUUCUGAAAAAAAAUCAAUGACUAUUUGUAAUGCAUAUAGUACAAAAACAAACAGUAAUUAUAUUGGCGAAGGCCAAACUGGUGAAUUACGAGCCAAUUUACAGCAUAAGCAAAAAUUGGGUGGUAAUGGUUAUGACGGUAAUAGUAACACCAGUAAUGGUAACAAAGAUAAUGGCUACGAAGGUAAUGGUCACAAAGGUAAUGGUCACAAAGGUAAUGGUAAGAGUUAUGAAAAAAUGUGUGAUCGCGUUGAAAGUUCAGUAUUAAGAUUAUUUUACGAAGCUUAUGUGAACAGAAAAGGAAAUAAAGAAAAUGCGAAUGAUAUACAUGAAACCACUUUGGAUUAUUCUGGACGUGUCGUAACAAACCAAACAAGUAGAACAAAGUAUGACACACAUUAUGACUAUAAAACAUAUGAAAAAGAAUACAUGACUGAAUUAAUUGACAUUUUAAAAGGGAUGAAUACACAUAAUCAAGGGAAUAACAUACAGAAAACGCGGAACUGUAGUUCUUUAUAUUCAUGUGAUGUACAGUAUAAAAAUGUUGUUCAUCUAAAACACAUAUCAUGCGUCAAAAGCUCAUCUAACGAAGUAAAUAAUAAAAAAAAAAGUAGCCAGAAUUUAAAAAAAAGUGUUGAUAAUUAUAUAACUAUGCGUAAAUAUAUACGAAAAGAAAUUUAUAGGAUAUUAAAAAUGAGUAAAUACGAUAGUAAGAUAAGAAGUAUAUUAAUGUUUAUGGUGAAUUAUAUACGGAUGAAUGGGUCGGAUUUGGCUAGGUCGGAUUUGGCUAGGUCAGAUUUGGCUAGGUCAGAUUUGGCUAUGUCAGAUAUUAUUGUUGAUCCAACUGGAUGUGGUAAAAACCUGAAUAAAACUAAUUUAUACGUUACAAAAAAAAGUAAAAGUAAAAAAAAUGUAACAGUAUAUAGCGAAAAAAACACAAAAAAAGUAAGAGAAAAGGAAAAGAAUUUGGUGGUACAAAAUAAUACUCCACUUGGUACCCAAACGGAAUAUUUUGUAUCUGGUACUGAGUGCGAAAAAAUGUAUGCUAAUGGUGCACCAAAACAUUUACCUUUGACUAUGUUAAUUGUAAAAAACUUUGAAGAAAAACAGGCAAAGUCAAAAGGUGGUAAAAAAUACACUGUCAAUAACACUCAAGUCCAAUACCAAGUGAAACUAGUUGGUGCAAAUAAAGAAGAGUUAAAAGAAAAUCAAAAAAUUAUAAAAAACGAAAUUGGCUUAUUUAGAAGAAUAGAACAAAUAUACAAAUACAAUAAUAUCGGUAAAUUAAAACGUAACAUAAAUUAUGAUUAUAAUAUUGUAAACAGGUACAUCCCAUUUCCAAAUAUAGUUACUAGUUAUGUUCAAAAAUGUAAUACUGAUGACUUUUUAAAAUAUUCUUUGACUGAAAUGGAAAACAAAGGAUCAGAGUUGAGUACUAUAACCAAUAGUAAUAACAAUAACGGUGGUAAUAACAAUAACGGUGGUAAUAACAAUAACGGUGGUAAUAACAAUAGUAAUGACAUCGUCACUGACACUGACAAAAUAGAAAAAAGUAAUAAUAGUAACACCUUUUUUAAUUGGAAAUAUGUACUAAAAAAAGACAAAAUGAAUAACAUAAAAAACACUAAGGAUAUUAAUUAUAAAUAUAUGGCACUGGCAGUAAAUACAAAAAAUUGUUCAUUAGUAGCCAAGUCGAAGAGCAAUAACAUGAUUUAUAAAAGUGUUGAUUCAAAAAAUAAAUUUAAGAAACUAAUUAACUUUUAUGAUAUUAAAAGUAAUGCUUUGGGUUUAUUAAAUAAAAAAAUAUUUCCAAAAAUUAAUGACAGUAAUAAAUCUAAUGGUAGUAAUAACAUUGCCGAUAGGGAUAACAUACAGAUUCAUAGUGACAGUAAGAGUAAUAAUGGAGAAAAAACAUAUGUAUUAACAGAUGGAAUAAAAGGAUAUAAAUUUAAGUCUAAUACACUUAAAAAAUUUUCUCCGGGUAUAAAACGAAUGGCAAUAAAUAAUUAUCAAAGUACUGUGAAUGAUGCUAUUGCUUCUUCUAUUUGGAAAGACAGCUAUGACAUUAUUAAAUCUAAGAGUGACUUUAGCGUGAAUAAAAACACAAUUUCCACUAGCUUUAAAAAUGUGAUUACAAUUAGUAAAAAUAACAUUUUUAUAAAAAAGAAAGGCAUAUUGAAGUAUCCAGAAAUAAAGAAUAAUAUUAAAGUUAUGACUAUAAGAAAUAUGAUAACAAACAAUAUUGAAAAAGCAAACCAUUCAUUAAAAAAUGCAAAUACUAUGAAACAUAUAAUGAAUGGGAAAAUGAAUGAGAAAAUGAGUGGGAAAAUGAGUGGAAAAAUGAAUGGAAAAAUGAAUGGAAAAAUGAAUGGAAAAAUGAAUGGAAAAAGUGUUAAUACUUUUACUUUAAAGCGGUAUAAUACUACUGCUGCGAAUAUGACUAAUAAUAAAGUUAACACUGAUUAUGCUAAUAGUGAUAAAAAUAAUAACAAUAUGAACAGCAGUAUAAACAAAGACAAAGCGAGCAAUAAUCAUAUUAAGCACAUGUUUAGCGAACAUUAUACAAACUUCAAACCCUUCAAAUCCAAAGAAAAUGCCCUAAAAAAAAUGGGUACUGCCAAAAAUAAUUUAUCUCUUUAUGUGAAACAAAAAAAUAUUUUAAAAAAAAUAGAAAGUAUGUCAGAAAAGCAAAACUUAUCUAAAUAUCCAAAGAAUUAUCAUUUAUUUAAAGAUAAAAAAAAUAUGUAUGAAAAAAAGAAAAGAGAGUUCCAUGUACAAAAAGAAGAACAAAGCUCUACAAAUAGUAUAUUGGAGUUAAAAAAAGAAGUAAGCAAAUUACAAGAAAAUGUUGAUUUUAAGAAUACGAAUAAUAACAGGACAAGGAGCGUACAAGAAAGGAAACGUCUUCAUGAUCGUGAUCGUGAUCGUGGUCGUGGUCGUGCUCGUACAUGUAGUCGUAAUAUUUUCGUCUUUGAUUCGCCAAACACAUACGAUAUGCAUAGCUCGAAUAACACGCACGAUUCAAAUGACACAUAUAACUCGUACAUAUCUCGAAAAAAUAAACCAGUAAGUGCUAAAAGCAAAGAGUUGGAUAAUAGCCAAGUUAGAAACGAAAUGGUUCAUAACCCCAAAUAUACAAAAAGGUUAUUAGAACUUAAAAAAAAAAAGAAAUUACAUGAACACAAUUAUAAACAUAAUAAAAACAUACAUUCUUCACGAAGUUACAGUUUUAAAAAUUCAUAUGAAACGAAUAAAACAAAAAAAAGUAGAAAAAUACCAGAUGAACAUAUUCAUAAUUAUAAAAUGAUCGAUAUUGGCUUAAAAGAGUAUAAAAAAAAAAAAAAAAUUGAUAUGUAUAUAAAUGAUGGAAAUAGUAAAAGAAAAGUGUCGAGUGAUUUGUAUGAUUUGCAUAAAAAAAAAAAAAAUGAUUUAAAGUCCAGGGGAAAAAGUAUAAACUCAAAAAAAAGUAAAUACGAUGAUAGACGCAGUGCUAAAAAUAGUAGAAAACUCAAUACACAGACGUCCUCUAACAUAAGCGAAAGAAGUGACAGUAUGACAAGUUAUAAACAAAAAGUUAGUUCUAAUAACUUUAGGAAUAAAAGUAAAAAAAGUUUAAACAGACAAAGUAGUAAUAGUGGUGAUAAAUAUUUUGCAGAAAAGUCAAACAGUUUUAGUGAGUCGAGUUCAAGUGGAGCAAAUGGGCGUUUCGAUCAAAUUAAACAAACAGAAAAAAACAAAGUCAUUACAAAUAACCAAACUAAUUUUGUCGAUUUAAAAAAAUUAAUGUGCUCUAAAAGUACGCUUGAGUUUUUAGUUGAAAAAAAAUAUAAUGAUAAUUUUACUCCUAUUCGUAGUAAUAAUGAAGCAUCAAAAAUAAAAACCAACAAAACAUCAUCAUCAUCAUCAUCAUUAUCAUUUAAUCCACCCAUGUUAAAAGACAAAAAUAAAAAAAAAUAUAUUCGAUAUUUAACUAAUGCAAAUGAUAU
rnacentral:lncRNA from 1 species